GACGAACGCUGGCGGCGUGCUUAACACAUGCAAGUCGAACGCUGAAGACCUGGCUUUUGUUGGGUUGGAUGAGUGGCGAACGGGUGAGUAACACGUGAGUAACCUGCCCUCUUCUUUGGGAUAACGCCCGGAAACGGGUGCUAAUACUGGAUAUUCACUGAUCUUCGCAUGGGGGUUGGUGGAAAGGUUUGUUCUGGUGGGGGAUGGGCUCGCGGCCUAUCAGCUUGUUGGUGGGGUGAUGGCCUACCAAGGCUUUGACGGGUAGCCGGCCUGAGAGGGUGACCGGUCACAUUGGGACUGAGAUACGGCCCAGACUCCUACGGGAGGCAGCAGUGGGGAAUAUUGCACAAUGGGCGAAAGCCUGAUGCAGCGACGCCGCGUGAGGGAUGGAGGCCUUCGGGUUGUAAACCUCUUUCGCUCAUGGUCAAGCCGCAACUGUGGGUUGUGGUGAGGGUAGUGGGUAAAGAAGCGCUGGCUAACUACGUG
rnacentral:rRNA from 1 species